rnacentral:rRNA from 1 species
CAGCCGCCGCAGUAAUACCGGCGGCCCGAGUGGCGGCCACUAUUAUUGGGCUUAAAGCGUCCGUAGCCGGGUUGGUUAGUCUCCCGGGAAAUCUGGCCGCUUAACGGUCAGAAUUCCGGGAGAUACUGCCAGCCUAGGGACCGGGAGAGGCCGAGGGUAUUCCCGGAGUAGGGGUGAAAUCCUAUAAUCCCGGGAGGACCACCUGUGGCGAAGGCGCUCGGCUGGAACGGGUCCGACGGUGAGGGACGAAGGCCAGGGGAGCAAACCGGAUUAGAUACCCGGGUAGUCCUGGCUGUAAACGAUGCGGACUUUGUGUCGGACAAGCUAUGAGCUUGUCCGGUGCCGGAGGGAAACCGUUAAGUCCGCCGCCUGGGGAGUACGGCCGCAAGGCUGAAACUUAAAGGAAUUGGCGGG